rnacentral:rRNA from 1 species
GACGAACGCUGGCGGCGUGCUUAACACAUGCCAGUCGAACGCUCAAGCUCAGCUUGCUGGGUGGAUGAGUUGCGAACGGGUGAGUAACACGUGAGUAACCUGCCCUCUUCUUUGGGAUAACGCCCGGAAACGGGUGCUAAUACUGGAUAUUCACUGAUUCUCGCAUGGGGGUUGGUGGAAAGGUUUUUUCUGGGGGGUGAUGGGCUCGCGGCCUAUCAGCUCGUUGGUGGGGUGAUGGCCUACCAAGGCUUUGACGGGUAGCAGGGGUGGGAAGGUGACCGGUGACAUUGGAACUGGGACACGGCCCAGACUGAGACGGGAGGCAGGAGUGGGGAAUAUUGCGCGAAGGGCGGAAGCCUGAUGCAGGGGCGAGGCGUGAGGGAUGGAGGCCUUCGGGAUGUAAUCCUCUUUGAAUAAUGGUCGAGCCGGAGCUUUGGGUUGUGGUGAGGGUAGUGGGUAAAGAAGCGCCGGCUAACUACGUG